UACGUAGGGUGCAAGCGUUGUCCGGAAUUAUUGGGCGUAAAGGGCUCGUAGGCGGUCUGUUGCGUCGGGAGUGAAAACUCAGGGCUUAACCCUGAGCCUGCUUCCGAUACGGGCAGACUAGAGUGUGGUAGGGAGACUGGAAUUCCUGGUGUAGCGGUGAAAUGCGCAGAUAUCAGGAGGAACACCGAUGGCGAAGGCAGGUCUCUGGGCCACUACUGACGCUGAGAAGCGAAAGCAUGGGAGCGAACAGG
rnacentral:rRNA from 1 species